UAAAUCCCCUUCUCUUUUCCCCACUUCCCUACCCCAGCCGCCACUGCUCUUUUUUUUUUCGGCGAUAGCCCACGAAGUUCGCCGUCUCCCCUCCACAAGUGCGUCACCGAGAUCCUCCGCCGCCACCACCGCCGCAUAGCCAACAUCCGCCGCCGCAGCCGCCGCCGCCGCUGGUGCUACAGAUCCGGCAGUCCCCAGCUUCGGCGGUGCCAAAUCCGGCCUCAAGAUGAGCCGGCGGCGCCUCCCACUCCAGGCGCUACCCCUUCCCUCCUCGCCGCCCCCUCCUCGCCGGCUCGUCCCUGCGUCAGGUCUCGGGUGAGGGCGACCGUACCCUGUUUCCCUUCUCCUCUGGCGCCUGCUGCCCCUUCCUUGCCCAAGCGCCGACUGCCUCCGCAGUGCCUCGUCGCAGCGACGACGGGUGAGCAGCACCGGCCAACAACGCGUCCCCUGCUCGCCCCUCCUCUUAUGGCUGCAAAUACCUUCCAGAUCUGAUGAUUAGUCCUGCAAAUCCCUCUCAGAUAUGAUGCUUGAUUUGUUCGUGAAGAUUGUCAGACAGAUUUUGCAUACUUCAUUGUUGACGGCCCGAGGAGUCGGGGAGUGGAUGAUGUUGUGGUCGGUCGCCGUUGUCUGCAGCUUCUGGGAAGGCUCAUUCUGAUCAUACUUACCCUUGUGCUUCCACCUAGUUUUAAUUAGGUGAUGAUGUUCGUUUGAGUUUAUAAAAUUUAUAAAAUUUUAUAAAACUUAUAAUAGAACUUUUAUCUGUUUAUAUAUUCCUGUUCACUGAGUAAACAUUCUGUGGCAUUUUAGUUGAUUUUUCUUAUCUUUUGCUGAUCAGAUAUGCUCAUUUUACAUAAGAUGGCUACUCAUCUUAUCUUACAUAAAUUGCAUAUAUGGAGUAUAAGCUAUAAGCUUAUAUGUGUGUUACUUUAUUCUGGUUCAGAGAUUAAAAACUCAAGCCCUCGAGAUAAAAUCCAAGUAGCUGUAAGGUAAAAUGGAAGAGAUGAAAUAAAGGUGGUCUCAUUAGUACUACUUUUAUUUUGUCUAAACUCUAAAGUACAAAUCUAGAAGGAAGAUGCUGCUGGUUAUUGGUUAUGAAUUGGCAUAAACCUAUGAGCAUAUAACAUUAUUCUUCGACCGAAAGAAUAACACACUCCUGUCUAUCACCAAAUAGUACCGUCCUAACCCCUAAAAAAGGUAUUGAUCAUGAGUAAUGACACACUUAUUUGAUUGGCAAGACUUUUAUGGUCAUUGUGAGGUACAGAGAGGUAUUUUUUGAUUGUCAAGAAACAUUUAUUUUGGGAUGCCUUUUGCAUUUUUGUACAGGAGACAUGCCCCUUUCUUAUUGUAAGAUUUGUUAGCAUCUGUUUGAGCAUAUGAUUUGUAUAGCUAUUUCUUCUAUGUACAAGGCAUUUUUUAUUAAAUGGAUAGUGCAAGAUUUAGAAUGUGAGCAUUGGGAACUAUUGCAAGUUUUUGCCUUGUAACUACAACUUUAACUACAAGUGAAAUCCCCCUGUCACAUGGAAGCUAAGUUAGUCUUCAGUAUUUGUAGUACUCAUUGAGCUUGUAGUGCUCGAUACUAAUGCAUUUCUGUUUGACCAGUAGGGAAUCGAAUUUGUUUGAACUAUAUAGUUAUAUUCCAUACAAGCAAUUCCUUUUUGCAUCGAUUUUAUGCUUGCCUCUUAUCGAAAGAGCUUCUCCUUUUCUUAUCUCAGCUAUACCUUAUAUAUCUGACUUGUAUAUCUGAGCAAUACACUUUAUUUACAUUACAGGUGAUGUAUCAUGUGAACUUUUGACAAGGGUGAAGCGUGUACCCGUGUUCUCCAUUUCGAUGCUUUUUAGGAUAUUUUCUACUAUUAUGUGUAUGUAAUCUAUAUACGACAUGUAAGCCCGGAUAAAAUAGCGAUUUUAGCAUCUUUUUCCUUGCAUACCAUUAUGACUCAUCUUUUGUCAUUUAAAAUGCGCUAGUGCACUCUGAUGUUAUUGUAUGUUGAAUUAUGUAAUCUACUAAAAUGUGUGCGAGGGCUCCAUGCAUGUCACAGUA